CCUACGGGAGGCAGCAGUGGGGAAUAUUGCACAAUGGGGGCAAGCCUGACCAGCCAUGCCGCGUCAGGAUGAAGGCCUUCGGGUUGUAAAGCGCUUUUGUCCGGGAGGAAAGGCCUGAGGCUAAUAUCCUCGGGUUGUGACGGUACCCUCAGAAUAAGCACCGGCUAACUCCGUGCCCGCAGCCGCGGUAAU
rnacentral:rRNA from 1 species